GAAUAGGAAACAAACAAUUGUAAUCAGUUUCGACCUGGUCUUUGGUAUGAUUUUACCCCUACUCU
rnacentral:tRNA from 1 species